rnacentral:lncRNA from 1 species
CGGCGCCUGUGGUCCGCUCGGCGCGGCGGCCACCACCGCAGGCGACAGGGGUGUCUUUUAUGAAUAAUCAAAAGCAGCAAAAACCAACGCUAUCAGGCCAGCGUUUUAAAACCAGAAAAAGAGAUGAAAAAGAGAGGUUUGACCCUACUCAGUUUCAAGACUGUAUUAUUCAAGGCUUAACUGAAACUGGUACUGAUUUGGAAGCAGUAGCUAAGUUUCUUGAUGCUUCUGGAGCAAAACUUGACUACCGCCGCUAUGCAGAAACACUCUUUGACAUUCUGGUGGCUGGCGGAAUGCUGGCCCCAGGUGGUACACUGGCAGAUGACAUGAUGCGCACAGAUGUCUGUGUGUUUGCAGCACAAGAAGACCUAGAGACCAUGCAAGCAUUCGCUCAG